rnacentral:rRNA from 1 species
CUGAUCCAGCAUGCCGCGUGAGUGAAGAAGGCCUUCGGGUUGUAAAGCUCUUUUGUCAGGGAAGAAACGGUGCGGGCUAAUAUCCUGCGCUAAUGACGGUACCUGAAGAAUAAGCACCGGCUAACUACGUGCCAGCAGCCGCGGUAAUACGUAGGGUGCAAGCGUUAAUCGGAAUUACUGGGCGUAAAGCGUGCGCAGGCGGUUUUGUAAGUCUGAUGUGAAAUCCCCGGGCUCAACCUGGGAAUUGCAUUGGAGACUGCAAGGCUAGAAUCUGGCAGAGGGGGGUAGAAUUCCACGUGUAGCAGUGAAAUGCGUAGAGAUGUGGAGGAACACCGAUGGCGAAGGCAGCCCCCUGGGUCAAGAUUGACGCUCAUGCACGAAAGCGUGGGGAGCAAACAGGAUUAGAUACCCUGGUAGUCCACGCCCUAAACGAUGUCUACUAGUUGUCGGGUUUUAAUUAACUUGGUAACGCAGCUAACGCGUGAAGUAGACCGCCUGGGGAGUACGGUCGCAAGAUUAAAACUC